AGAGUUUGAUCAUGGCUCAGAUUGAACGCUGGCGGCAUGCCUUACACAUGCAAGUCGAACGGCAGCAGAGCAAUCUCUGGCGAGUGGCGAACGGGUGAGUAAUACAUCGGAACGUGCCCAAUCGUGGGGGAUAACGUCUCGAAAGUGACGCUAAUACCGCAUACGACCUGAGGGUGAAAGCGGGGGAUCUUCGGACCUCGCGCGAAUGGAGCGGGCGAUGUCAGAUUAGGUAGUUGGUGGGGUAAAGGCUCACCAAGCCGACGAUCUGUAGCUGGUCUGAGAGGACGACCAGCCACACUGGGACUGAGACACGGCCCAGACUCCUACGGGAGGCAGCAGUGGGGAAUUUUGGACAAUGGGCGCAAGCCUGAUCCAGCCAUGCCGCGUGCGGGAAGAAGGCCUUCGGGUUGUAAACCGCUUUUGUCAGGGAAGAAACGCUUCGGGAUAAUACCUCGGGGUGAUGACGGUACCUGAAGAAUAAG
rnacentral:rRNA from 1 species